GAUGAACGCUAGCGGCAGGCAUAAUACAUGCAAGUUGAACGGGAUUGGAGUAGCAAUAUUCCAUGAGAGUGGCGCACGGGUGCGUAACACGUAUGCAACUUGCCUUGAACAGGGGGAUAGCCCGUGGAAACAUGGAUUAAUACCCCAUAGCAUAUUGUUAAGGCAUCUUAGUAAUAUUAAAGCUUCGGCGGUUCAAGAUGGGCAUGCGCGUCAUUAGCUAGAUGGUGAGGUAAUGGCUCACCAUGGCAACGAUGACUAGGGGGUCUGAGAGGAUGUCCCCCCACACUGGUACUGAGACACGGACCAGACUCCUACGGGAGGCAGCAGUAGGGAAUAUUGGGCAAUGGUCGCAAGACUGACCCAGCCAUGCCGCGUGCAGGAAGACGGCCCUAUGGGUUGUAAACUGCUUUUAUCAGGGAGCAAAUCCUGCCUGCUAAUACUAGGCGGGGAUGAGAGUACCUGAAGAAUAAGGACCGGCUAACUACGUGCCAGCAGCCGCGGUAACAC
rnacentral:rRNA from 1 species